rnacentral:rRNA from 1 species
AUUGAACGCUGGCGGCAGGCCUAACACAUGCAAGUCGAGCGGAUGAGGAGAGCUUGCUCUCUGAUUUAGCGGCGGACGGGUGAGUAAUGCCUAGGAAUCUGCCUGGUAGUGGGGGAUAACGUCCGGAAACGGGCGCUAAUACCGCAUACGUCCUACGGGAGAAAGCAGGGGACCUUCGGGCCUUGCGCUAUCAGAUGAGCCUAGGUCGGAUUAGCUAGUUGGUGAGGUAAUGGCUCACCAAGGCGACGAUCCGUAACUGGUCUGAGAGGAUGAUCAGUCACACUGGAACUGAGACACGGUCCAGACUCCUACGGGAGGCAGCAGUGGGGAAUAUUGGACAAUGGGCGAAAGCCUGAUCCAGCCAUGCCGCGUGUGUGAAGAAGGUCUUCGGAUUGUAAAGCACUUUAAGUUGGGAGGAAGGGCAGUAAGUUAAUACCUUGCUGUUUUGACGUUACCAACAGAAUAAGCACCGGCUAACUUCGUGCCAGCAGCCGCAGUAA